rnacentral:rRNA from 1 species
GACGAACGCUGGCGGCGUGCUUAACACAUGCAAGUCGAACGGUGAAAGCGGAGCUUGCUCCGCUGGAUCAGUGGCGAACGGGUGAGUAACACGUGGGCAACCUGCCCCUCACUUCGGGAUAACUCCGGGAAACCGGGGCUAAUACCGGAUAUGACCUCCUUGGGCAUCCUUGGAGGUGGAAAGUUUUUCGGUGAGGGAUGGGCCCGCGGCCUAUCAGCUUGUUGGUGAGGUAGUGGCUCACCAAGGCGACGACGGGUAGCCGGCCUGAGAGGGCGACCGGCCACACUGGGACUGAGACACGGCCCAUGCUCCUACGGGAGGCAGCAGUGGGGAAUAUUGCGCAAUGGGCGAAAGCCUGACGCAGCAACGCCGCGUGCGAGAUGACGGCCUUCGGGUUGUAAACCGCUUUCAGCAGGGAAGAAACCUCCCUGCAAGGGGAGCUGACGGUACCCUCGGAGGAAGCACCGGCUAACUCCGUGCCAGCAGCCGCCGUAAUAC